GACGAACGCUGGCGGCGUGCUUAACACAUGCAAGUCGAACGGAAAGGCCCUGCUUUUGUGGGGUGCUCGAGUGGCGAACGGGUGAGUAACACGUGAGUAACCUGCCCUUGACUUUGGGAUAACUUCAGGAAACUGGGGCUAAUACCGGAUAGGAGCUCCUGCUGCAUGGUGGGGGUUGGAAAGUUUCGGCGGUUGGGGUUGGAUUCGCGGCUUAUCAGCUUGUUGGUGGGGUAGUGGCUUACCAGGGCUUUGACGGGUAGCCGGCCUGAGAGGGUGACCGGCCUCAUUGGGACUGAGGUACGGCCCAGACUCCUACGGGAGGCAGCAGUGGGGAAUAUUGCACAAUGGGCGGAAGCCUGAUGCAGCAACGCCGCGUGCGGGAUGACGGCCUUCGGGUUGUAAACCGCUUUCGCCUGUGACGAAGCGUGAGUGACGGUAACGGGUAAAGAAGCACCGGCUAACUACGUG
rnacentral:rRNA from 1 species